AAUCCGUUGAGACGCACAACUCGAUCACGCUCGUUUCCACCGCCUCCGGCGUCCUCGGCGUCGAUCCCAACCGACCUCGAUGGCGACAUCCGUCUCUCCUCUUCCAUUUGAAUCUGCGUCCGUCUCCUCGACCCUCCUCGGACGAUCGCGGCCAACUACCUUGUCCCCGCCGUCUCCGGCACCAAGAACCGCCUCCCUCACCUCCUACCGCCUCCAGAGUGGAGUCAACUGUGGGGAUUCGGGAUCUGUUAUCCCCGGAUCGGUAUUCAUAGCAUUUCACUACGAUCACUGCUGGCACAUGGCGGUACACUGAUCCCUCCCGACAUGGUCACUUGUGAGGGAUCUCCCUGUAGGAACUUUAUAUCCAUCCCCACCCCACCCCCCCUCCUUUGCAUUUGGAACAGAUCGAAUCGCGUUAUACAUCGGGCAGAUCCGGCUGUGGCGGCCAUGACAGCUAGGGCUUGGCAGGGGUUUGUGAUCGUCCACCUCAUCUUCUCGACUCUUUUCACUGCGCUCUACGAGGAUAAGUCCUGGUGACGGAUUGGUUUGUAGAUCCUCUUUUAUAUUACUUCUUUUCCCGUCGUCAUGUGUGUUUCCUUCUUUUAUGCAACUUCGAAUAUGUUGUCCAGGUUUCUUCUACUUCUUUUGAAUUCUUCCUCAUUAAAGCAAUCAAACAUGUACUUUGAAUCGCGUCCCUUUUGUUAUGCAAUCAUACCAAUAGUUUCAUAAAUCUCUUGCUUCUCUAUGUGUUAUUAGUUUGACCUUAAUAUCUAUAUGCUAAAUUUUGCAAAUGAAAUAAAUGAUGUUUAUCAAGUAUUUUCUGGAGCUAGAUUUUUCUGAUAUCGGGAUGAUUACUAACAAUAUUUUAGAACAUUAGAGAAUUACCAUCAGUUAGGAUGGGUUCCUUGUAGUCGUGUAAAGUUGCAAAUUUUAGAUGAUAAAUCAAGGAAACGAAAAUUGCAUGCAAUUGAGCACAACAUCUAGAUAAUGAGAUUUUGAUCAUGCACUUUAUCAUCUAAGAGGUUGAGCUGAAUACUGUAGAAACUAUAGUUUUUAUUUUGUAUCCAUAUGUUGGUUCUUACAUGUAUGUCGUUUCUUCUUUUAAGUUUUACAUGGUUAUUGGUGGUAAUGAUUUCAGUAUUUCUGCUACAAAUAUUCUUGUUGAAAUUAGAGAGGCACUAACCUUUUCGUACUUGUACUUCUCCUUUUCAGUCUGUUAUAAUAUUAAAUUAAUUAGAUACAAUUAGGUUUCUUUCUUCACAUCAAAUUAUUUUGAAUCUUAAAGAGCAGAAACUAAUUGUAAAAGAAACCCUUAUGAGGGAGAACGAGUAGGGUAGUCAAACCUUUUUCUGCCCUUGAUCUAACUCUGUGCUUUUGGGGCUUAUAAUUCCAAUCAUAAAUCACAUUUGUUUUCUUGGCAAGAGUCAUGUUCUUCUUUCAGUCAAAGUCAUUCAGCAUCUAGAUUGCAUAUGUUCAAUCUGAUAGACUAUAGUCAAAAUCUUUUUAAAUUAUCCAACCAUAUUUUAAUAACAUAAGAUGAUUUAGUUGAGUAUUUUAGGGGCUCAAAUGACCAUUCUUGUUAAAAUGUAUAAUUAUUUAUUGAAGUUGAAAGACAUUUAUAUGGCAUGAUGUAGUUUAUUAAAAGCAACUUUUCUUUGUGACACUCAUAACAUUGAAACUGUAUACCAAAUGGGACCACCAAUAUCUCCAUUUUGAAUGUCAGUCUGGAUUGGCUCUCUAUGCUGCCCAAAACUAUCCAGUUUGGUUUGGCUUAUAUGUAAGAUGUAGGUAAUCCUUUUAAACAGUACCUCCUUGUUUUGUUGAACUUUGACCAUCAAGUCAAAAUGUGAACAGUCUAUCUUAUUUCUCCUGAUGUUAGUAAACUACACCAACUUGUUUUAGAUCAGUAAAACCAUUGGUUCUUGAGUAUGGUACUCGUCUCUAUUGGAGGGCUCACAUGGUUUGAGAUUUUCUUGGGUCAUGUGCUGUCGCAAAUUAGCCAAAAGAAUUUUUCCCUGCAUUAUGUUUAUUCUCAAAAAGCUUGUGCCACGUUUUGUAGGAUCGACCUAUUCCAAUGGUGGAUCGAAUCACCCAACUGAUAUUGAAACCCUUGGGAAAUUGUGGAACCAGUUGGACUUGGCAGAGUUAAUCAAACUUGAUUAAUUUUUAGCUGAUUCUAAUUGCUUUUGACAAAUUAUCAUUGGUAUUAAUGAGCUUUGGCUACUCUUAAUCUCUAUCAUUACUGAUUCUUUGUGGCGCAAUCAAUGUUUGACGGGUUUCUUUGCUUCUGGACUAUAGCCAACUUUUGGUCAAUCAUGGACAUUUUGAAUUGAUUUCAUGAAAUCUGAUAAGACAAUAUGAUUCUGUUGGUGCAUAUUAAUCUCAAUUUCAUCUAUCACCAUUCUUGAACUGAUCUCAAUCUCAUGAACUUUGGUCAAGUAUCAUCAUUUUCGAAUGGUUGCCUUCAUCGUUUAACCUCUAGAUGUAGCUAUUGAUGCUAACUUCUGUGUAUUUCUGUCAUGAUUUGUGUAUUUGUUUCUUAAUUUAUUAGUGUACCAUUUUUGCCUUCCGAAGAUGUAUCCAAGCUCAUAUUAUCUUCUCAUUUCUUUUAUCAACUUUGAUACCUUCCAACUAGAAGUUCUAAAUGAGAGGGAAGACCUCCAUUUUCCCUAUCUACCUAUCGAUGUUUUAGAUAUCAUUUAUUAAGCUUUGUGUCCCCUCCAGCCUGUGUAAAUUCUGGCUGUUUCUCUGAAUAAGAGGCAUGUGAUGAACUUACUGGAGUGGUUCAAAAGGACACCUUUAUGAUGUUUUAAAGGGGUGAUAAUUGGAAUUUAGGUUGGUCAAAUAUAUGACCAUGGCAUAGCCAUGGAUUAUUGUAUGCACAUAUGCAUGCUAUAUCAUCAUGCCUUUGCAAAUUAAGAUGUGCCCAUGUGUCAUAGCUAAGUUGUGCAUCUACUAUGUAUUUAUGUACGCAUAUCAGAAAGAUGUCAAACUAUUUAUUCUUUUUUUCUCGUCUGGAGAUUUCAUAUAUACAUGUAUAUAUACAUGUGUUAGGGUGGACCUUGGUACAACACUAAGCUUGCUCCUUUUCAACCUUGUGGCCAAUUUUUGAGUCUCAAAAAUAGCUUCUCUAAGGUAGAGGGAAGGCUGCAUAUAUGGAGAAAUAUAUAUACAUAUGCAUGUAUAUAAUAUAGUAUAAUAUAAUAUAAGAAUACUUAAAUUUAUAAAUUUAGGCAAAUACUCCAAGCAACUCUUUGUAUAAGAUUGUGGGUAAUAUUGCUUGACCUGGUGACCUUGUUGGCGGUUGUGCUGUUGUAAUCAUAAUGUCUAUGAAGACUUAGGAAUAUCCUUUGAGCUAAAUUUCCUGUCCUCUGUUCUACCAGACUUUGAGCGUGCUAUUAUUUAGUUCAGUGGAUGAUUUGUAUACUGUAGUUAUAUUAGUCAAGUGGAUGAUCUUCUUAUUAUGGCUAUAUUUUGAAUAGAUUAAGCUGCCCAUUCUCAAUACACAGGCUAAAACUGGGAGAAAACAUGUUGUAGCACUUAUGGAAGAGAAUGUCAUUCCUUCUCUUGAUCUCCAUGCAGAUGAUAGCUGUCAGUUUGGACUCAUAUAUUCUGUUAUCGUGUUAGUUAUCAAGUCUCUGCUUAUUAAUGUUCAGAGUAUGAUACUAUGAGUAAAAUAGGAAACCUUGUUUGUAUAAUUAGAAACUCCAAUUGUGUAAGUAUUGGAAUAUUUGGGGUUUCCUUUUCUCUUCUUGAGAAUUGAAAUAACUUUUAGUUGGCUUACUUCCUGCAGCUUGGAGGCAUGUUCUUGGAAAAAAUGGCCAUCUCAAUCAAGUUGACACUGCUCUUUUGAAGUGCAAUUUUCUCUAGUACUUUGUAGAUGUAGUUAACUUUUUGGGGCAUUAGCCUAUGAUUUCCACUCUUUGAGUAGGUUAUCCCUGUCAUCUUGAUCUUUUUAUUUGUAUGCUUUUAGCUAAUAUGUUCUAUAUUGGAACUAGUGUGCUUUUCACUUCGUAUGUUUUUACACAUUCUUAAUACCUUUUUUCAUAUCUAUAUCUUCUUUUAUUUUUAGAAUUCCUCUCAUGUUUAAUGCUAAACAUAUGCAAAGUUUUUAGAACUAGGAUCUUUAUAUAGUUACAAUUAAGGAGUCAAGAAUUCAUUGCAUGUGGCAUGCAUAGUUGUUGGAAUGUCACAUGCUGCAUGUUGUUCCAUGCUGAAUCUCAGUAGAGGCUGUUUUGCUGAUGGUACUAGAUGAAAAAGGGAAGAAAACUGGAAACUAAAAAGAAUGAAUGAAGAAACAACAGAUUUUUCUUUGCUUUGGAGGAAUGCUGCAUCAUUCCCAUAAAUCUCUUGUGGCCAUCAUACAUGGCAGAUGAUUGUGAGCUUAACACUGAGGUGAGUAGUGACUGUGAAAAGAGUUAGGCCAUAAAAAGGGAAACCCAAAAGCAUACAAUCAAAAUCUGUUGUCAAUCUAGCUGUGGCUUGAUUCGGUUGAUUCUAGUCUGGUUGGUUCCGUAGCGAACAUUGAUGGAACACGUUUCAGAGAUUCUUCAACAUGAUGCAAUAUGGUGGGUUAAAUCUCAAUGAAAUGUUACAUGAUACUUUGGUGGACGUGCCUGAAGCUUUUUAUCGCUGAUUGGAACGUAAUGUUGCUCAUCUUCAAACAUUUAAAUGUGUAUAUCUCUUCCUUACCGAGAUUGCUCCACCAAGAGCUUAUGAUUUGCUUACUGGAGAUUUCAGCUGCACACGUCUCACAAUCAUUUCACUAGUUGCCGCCAUUUCUGUGACAUGGACCUCAUCCGAGCAGGAGCAUAGAGAGAAAUAGAGCUUUUACAAACUAGGUGAAGCCCUUGCCGGAGUGAUGACUGACAUCAGAGAUCGCAGCCUGCUAACAAGCGCUUCCGACUUCUUUUCAUUUUGGUGGCUUGGUUCUUCAAGUGCCUGUGACAGGUCCAGUUUCUCUAGAUGCCACCUGUUACCUGAAAUUGAGAUGCUAGAUAUCUGAAAGCGAUAGGAUGUACUGUGAGUGAAGGUUUCAUAUUUUUCAUCCAAUACUAUCAGCUAGGAUGUUUUCGGAGUCUUCAGCUAGUGGCAGCCUAAAAGAAGAAUUCACAGGCUCGCAAUACCGAACAAAAGGUGACACACUUGACAAAAGAUUGGGGCAAGCAUGCUAAUAAUGGUAAGUGAUUUUCAAAGUAUCGUUGGCAAUCAUCGAAAGCAAAACACUUUGAGUCGAGCUGCACAAUGCAAAGCCGGAGACGAGGGGUCAUAUCCUAUUUCUCACUUUGUUGAAGCUGUUGACUCUUUCUGGUGCCAGUCUGACUUGCAAUCAAUGCAGCCCAUUUGAAGGAACACCAUGGAGGCCUACCACCACUUGCCUCACCCCUUAAGAGAAGCCAUGUGAUAUGAUGGUACUCCACCUCUUGAUUCAACUCCACUUUGCGGUCUGCACUUGAGCCCACCACUCAAGUAACAGUGGCCAUGCACCAUUUGAAGAUGGUACAAUCACUGUUGGGUGCAACGGGGAUUACUGUAGCCUCCGUGUUGGAAUAGUGAAGGUGGGUCUCACUGAUUUGAGCUCAUUUUUAUCUCCAACGAAUCGAGAAGGUUAUCUUCCUUCUGUCUGCAGAUGGCAGUGCAUUGAGGAUAAAUUUUUAAAGGGACUUCGUAACCUGCUGUCUACACUUAUCACAGGGAUGCUCAACUAUGGGAAUACAAAUUCAUAAGUUGAAAGGCCAGAAUACUCAAGGUAAAAUUUGUUGGAGGUUUGGAGCAUAGUAUGAUUUAUAAACUAAGAUUACAUUUGGCUGGGCCUUGCAUCGAAUUCAGUACAGUGCAGAUGUUUAAUACAAGAUAGAAAAUUCGGUAACAUGACAUGAUUCUAUCUUCUACCAGAUCCCAGUUUGGGGAUAUUGGUGGUAGAAGGGGUCGCAUUGUUGCAGCAUUGCUUCCAUGCUUAUCAGCACACAAAAAGUUAUUGAUGCUACUGUUGGUGACACUACUUAAAAGAGGAGUCUCUUGGUCCACCUUAUCUCGUCAACCAUAGGAGGCCAAGAAAAUAUCCAAUCUUGGGUCCCAAAAGGGAACCCAUUGCUACUGUGGAAUGGUUUCCAAUUAGAUCAGGAACUGUAAGAAAGAGGAGGCUGAGGGAGACUUCUAAUCACUCUGUUACACAACCCACCAACAAAGGAGGUCCCCUUCCACCUACAAUUCGACAACUACGUUGGUGCUCAUUCUGUAUCAUGUAGCCCAAAUCUUUCUCUGGAUUCCACUGUGCCACCACCGGCAACUCGGUCCACGAGCACAUCGUUCAAGUGACUGCCAUCAUGUUAUCAAUCUCAAUUAUUGGAUCUGAAGUUGGCGCCGACGCAAUAGAUGCAUGUAACGGAAUCUUGAAUUCCAUGGGGCUACCAGCUUUCCUAGGCAUGUUCUUGUGAUGCCUUCUUUCCUUUGGCAAAGGAGCAUGCUUGAUACUUUGGUCUUAGACCAAUCAAAUGAUCAUGAAGAUUAGAUGUGGGAAGUGAAAGCCACUCCUAGUUUCAGAUCCUCCUUAUCUCAAGAUGGUUCCAGAGUGAUGCUUAUUUAUCAAAUAAUGUUGAUCUAUAUGGAAGAAAGAAACCCCUCAACUAAUGAUUCUCUUGAGAGGCACUUGAAAUUGCUGUUAUUUGUCCAGCCAU